UCGGGUUUCACCUGUUCGGCCUGAUUCGGACUGUUUUGGGCUGAUUUGCCCAACUUCGUGUUAUGUGUGAAGGGGUCCUAACUGAAGUUAC